GACGAACGCUGGCGGCGUGCCUAAUACAUGCAAGUAGAACGCUGAAGAGAGGAGCUUGCUCUUCUUGGAUGAGUUGCGAACGGGUGAGUAACGCGUAGGUAACCUGCCUUGUAGCGGGGGAUAACUAUUGGAAACGAUAGCUAAUACCGCAUAACAAUGGAUGACACAUGUCAUUUAUUUGAAAGGGGCAAUUGCUCCACUACAAGAUGGACCUGCGUUGUAUUAGCUAGUAGGUGAGGUAACGGCUCACCUAGGCGACGAUACAUAGCCGACCUGAGAGGGUGAUCGGCCACACUGGGACUGAGACACGGCCCAGACUCCUACGGGAGGUAGCAGUAGGGAAUCUUCGGCAAUGGGGGCAACCCUGACCGAGCAACGCCGCGUGAGUGAAGAAGGUUUUCGGAUCGUAAAGCUCUGUUGUAAGUCAAGAACGAGUGUGAGAGUGGAAAGUUCACACUGUGACGGUAGCUUACCAGAAAGGGACGGCUAACUACGU
rnacentral:rRNA from 1 species